rnacentral:rRNA from 1 species
UAUCUACAGGCUUAACACAUGCAAGUCGAGGGGCAGCAUGGUCUUAGCUUGCUAAGGCCGAUGGCGACCGGCGCACGGGUGAGUAACACGUAUCCAACCUGCCGUCUACUCUUGGACAGCCUUCUGAAAGGAAGAUUAAUACAAGAUGGCAUCAUGAGUCCGCAUGUUCACAUGAUUAAAGGUAUUCCGGUAGACGAUGGGGAUGCGUUCCAUUAGAUAGUAGGCGGGGUAACGGCCCACCUAGUCUUCGAUGGAUAGGGGUUCUGAGAGGAAGGUCCCCCACAUUGGAACUGAGACACGGUCCAAACUCCUACGGGAGGCAGCAGUGAGGAAUAUUGGUCAAUGGGCGAGAGCCUGAACCAGCCAAGUAGCGUGAAGGAUGACUGCCCUAUGGGUUGUAAACUUCUUUUAUAAAGGAAUAAAGUCGGGUAUGGAUACCCGUUUGCAUGUACUUUAUGAAUAAGGAUCGGCUAACUCCGUGCCAGCAGCCGCGGUAAUACGGAGGAUCCGAGCGUUAUCCGGAUUUAUUGGGUUUAAAGGGAGCGUAGAUGGAUGUUUAAGUCAGUUGUGAAAGUUUGCGGCUCAACCGUAAAAUUGCAGUUGAUACUGGAUAUCUUGAGUGCAGUUGAGGCAGGCGGAAUUCGUGGUGUAGCGGUGAAAUGCUUAGAUAUCACGAAGAACUCCGAUUGCGAAGGCAGCCUGCUAAGCUGCAACUGACAUUGAGGCUCGAAAGUGUGGGUAUCAAACAGGAUUAGAUACCCUGGUAGUCCACACGGUAAACGAUGAAUACUCGCUGUUUGCGAUAUACUGCAAGCGGCCAAGCGAAAGCGUUAAGUAUUCCACCUGGGGAGUACGCCGGCAACGGUGAAACUCAAAGGAAUUGACGGGGGCCCGCACAAGCGGAGGAACAUGUGGUUUAAUUCGAUGAUACGCGAGGAACCUUACCCGGGCUUAAAUUGCAGAUGAAUUACGGUGAAAGCCGUAAGCCGCAAGGCAUCUGUGAAGGUGCUGCAUGGUUGUCGUCAGCUCGUGCCGUGAGGUGUCGGCUUAAGUGCCAUAACGAGCGCAACCCUUGUUGUCAGUUACUAACAGGUUCCGCUGAGGACUCUGACAAGACUGCCAUCGUAAGAUGUGAGGAAGGUGGGGAUGACGUCAAAUCAGCACGGCCCUUACGUCCGGGGCUGCACACGUGUUACAAUGGGGGGUACAGAGGGCCGCUACCACGCGAGUGGAUGCCAAUCCCCAAAACCUCUCUCAGUUCGGACUGGAGUCUGCAACCCGACUCCACGAAGCUGGAUUCGCUAGUAAUCGCGCAUCAGCCACGGCGCGGUGAAUACGUUCCCGGGCCUUGUACACACCGCCCGUCAAGCCAUGGGAGCCGGGGGUACCUGAAGUGCGUAACCGCGAGGAGCGCCCUAGGGUAAAACUGGUGA